rnacentral:lncRNA from 10 species
GGAAAGAGCCACCUGAGCAGCGCGCGGCUCCCACGGCGGAGACUGUUUCUACUCUCUCACCUUGAGGUUCCUGCCACCGGGCAGUAAUAACUGAAAUCUACCUUGAAGUUUAUGGCGUAAGUUUUCUUUACAUCUGGAUUCCCAAUGCCGAGGGAGCCUAGACCUACUGAAAGAAAUUCUGCUGGCCAGACUAGAUUGGCAGCUUUCCCGUCUGACUUCAGGUUGUCUAUUUUCAGUUCGUCUUUAGCUUGACCUACCAAAAAAAAAAAAUUUUUAAGUGACUUUCUCUCGCUGCUCUUUUUGAGAAGCCUCACCUCUCUCAUUCUGAGAAGAUACGGAGUACACCAAUCACAAUACAAUUUUCUUCUAGCGUAAUGGCUGUUCAUUCAUUAGUUAAUUGUAUGUACUUCAAAGUGGAAUUGCAGAUUAUAUGGUAAUUCUAUGUUGAACUUUUUGAGGAAUCACAAAAGUUAAUUUGUUUUUAACUUUAUGGAUGUGUUCAAGCAAAUAAGGAAGCCAUUAGGCCCAUGCGGUGCCUCACACCUGUAAUCCAAGCACUUUGGGAGGCCGAGGAGGGAUCACUUGGGGUUAGAAGUUCAAGACCAGCCUGGCCAACAUGGUGAAACACAUCUCUACUAAAACUUCAAAAAUUAGCUGGGUGUGGUGGCCCGUGCCUGUAAUCCCAGCUACUCGGAGGACUGAGGCAGGAGAAUCGCUUGAACCCAGGUUGCAUGAGCCGAGGUCGCACCACUGCACUCCAGCCUGGGUGACAGAGCAAGACUGAGUCUCAAAAAAAAAAAAACAAGAAGGAGGCCAUUAGCCUGAGGUUGUCUCUGCACCUAGAGCUCUUAUAUAAGCAAACUGAAACUGAAGUGGAAGCAGUUCUUGUAAUUAACUUAAAAAAAAACAAAACCCACCAGCUUCUGCCAAUCACAAACAGCCAACCAGCUGAUUGGAUAUAUAACUAGAGACUUCCCAUCAGACCAUACCCAAAUAAGGCCAAUGCAUAGCUGUAGCCAAUCAGCUGCAAAUAUUUCCUCAUUGGAAAUCUAUAUUCUCAGAACCUA